UACGGAGGGUGCAAGCGUUGUCCGGAAUCACUGGGCGUAAAGGGUGCGUAGGCGGUUUGGUAAGUCUUAUGUGAAAUCUACAGGCUCAACUUGUAGUCUGCAUGAGAAACUGCCGGGCUUGAGUAUGGGAGAGGUGAGUGGAAUUCCUGGUGUAGCGGUGAAAUGCGUAGAUAUCAGGAGGAACACCUGUGGCGAAAGCGGCUCACUGGACCAUAACUGACGCUGAUGCACGAAAGCUAGGGGAGCAAACAGG
rnacentral:rRNA from 1 species